UUUCGGCGAACUCAGUCAGUAGAGCACGAAAUUCUUAAUCUUGGGGUCGUGGGUUCGAACCACACGUUGUAAG